rnacentral:rRNA from 1 species
AUAGUCGGCAGUGGCAGACGCGAAACCAAGUGAUCUACCCUUGGCCAGGUUGAAGGCUGGGUAACACCAGCUGGAGGACCGCACCAAUAAGCGUUGAAAAGCUUCUGGAUGAGCUGAGGGUAGGGGUGAAAGGCUAAUCAAACUUGGAGAUAGCUCGUACUCCCCGAAAUGCAUUUAGGUGCAGCCUUGCGGGUUACUGAUGUGAGGUAGAGCGACUGAUAAGAUGCGAGGGCUUCACCGCCUAUCAAGUCUUGACAAACUCCGAAUGCGCAUCAGUUCUACCGCAGGAGUGAGGGCAUGGGUGCUAAGGUCCGUGCCCGAGAGGAGAAGAAUCCGGACCACCUGCUAAGGUCCCGAAAUGACAGCUAAGUUAAACUAACGAAGUCUGACUGCUAAGACAGCUAGGAUGUUGGCUUGGAAGCAGCCAUUCAUUUAAAGAGUGCGUAACAGCUCACUAGUCGAGGAGUCGGGCGUGGAUAAUAAUCGGGUAUCAAGUUGUCUACCGAAGCAGUGGGAUCAUUUAUAUGAUCGGUAGGGGAGCAUUCCAGUCAGCGUCGAAGGCGUACCGUGAGGUAUUCUGGAGCGUCUGGAAAAGCAAAUGUAGGUAUAAGUAACGAUAAAGGGGGCGGGAAACCCCCUCGCCGAAAGACUAAGGUUUCCUGAUCAACGCUAAUCGGAUCAGGGUCAGUCGGGUCCUAAGGCUCAGCCGAACGGCGAUGCCGAUGGCAGAAACGGUUAAUAUUCCGUUACUACCUUCAGGAGUGACGUGGAGACGCAGUAGUGACAGUGCCGCCAUCUGACGGAAUAGAUGGUUGAAGGGUGUAGGAGUCGAUCAUGGCAGGCAAAUCCACCAUGAGAUCCGAACCUGACAGUAUGCCGCGUCCUUCGGGACAAGGCAAUAGUGCGCGUAAGCAUGCUGCCGAGAAAAUCCGCUAAACUUAAUCCUGCAGGUACCCGUACCGCAAACGGACACACGUAGUCGGGAUGAAUAUUCUAAGGCGCUUGAGUGAUUCACGGUUAAGGAACUAGGCAAACUGACCCUGUAACUUCGGGAUAAAGGGUCCCUACCCUUUUAUGGGAGGGCGCAGAGAAUCGGUCCAGGCAACUGUUUAACAAAAACACAGGGCUGUGCCAAAUCGAAAGAUCCAGUAUACAGCCUGACACCUGCCCGGUGCUGGAAGGUUAAGAGGAGAUGUCAUCGAUAAGAGAAGCGUUGAAUUGAAGCCCCAGUAAACGGCGGCCGUAACUAUAACGGUCCUAAGGUAGCGAAAUUCCUUGUCGGGUAAGUUCCGACCUGCACGAAUGGUGUAAUGAUCUGGACGCUGUCUCAACCGUGAGCUCAGUGAAAUUGUAGUAUCGGUGAAGAUGCCGAUUACCCGCGAUGGGACGAAAAGACCCCGUGAACCUUUACUAUAGCUUAUCAUUGAAUCUGGGCACGUGAUGUGUAGGAUAGGUCGGAGGCUUUGAAGCAGGUACGCCAGUAUUUGUGGAGCCGCUGUUGAAAUACGACCCUUUAUUUGUUUGGAUUCUAACCCGUGGAACGGGGACAUUGAUUGGUGGGUAGUUUGACUGGGGUGGUCGCCUCCAAAAGCGUAACGGAGGCUUCUAAAGGUGCCCUCCGGCCGAUUGGUAACCGGCCUUAGAGUGUAAUGGCAUAAGGGCGCUUGACUGGGAGACUGACAAGUCGAUCAGGUAGGAAACUAGAGCAUAGUGAUCCGGUGUUUCCGUAUGGAAGGGACAUCGCUCAAAGGAUAAAAGGUACUCCGGGGAUAACAGGCUGAUCCCUCCCAAGAGCUCAUAUCGACGGAGUGGUUUGGCACCUCGAUGUCGGCUCGUCACAUCCUGGGGCUGGAGAAGGUCCCAAGGGUUGGGCUGUUCGCCCAUUAAAGUGGCACGCGAGCUGGGUUCAGAACGUCGUGAGACAGUUCGGUCUCUAUCUAUCGUGGGCGUAUGAAAUUUGCGUGGCUCUGACACUAGUACGAGAGGACCGUGUUGGACAGACCUCUGGUUUGCCGGUUGUGCCGCCAGGUGCAUUGCCGGGUAUCUAAGUCUGGAUCGGAUAAGUGCUGAAAGCAUCUAAGUACGAAGCCGGCCACAAGAUUAGAUUUCUCAGGGUCGUUGU